UUUUCCUGUAUUGGAAUAAGAAGAAUCUGGUUAUAAUUCUUCAGCAUUGGUAUAUACACAUAAUCUUCUCUGCAUAUUGACAACUGAACUGGGAUUUAUUGUCAAUGCUAGGAGGAAUUCAUUACCACAAGAAAUGUGCACACUGCAGGCAUACAAUAAAUCACAAACAGCAUCUGAAGAAACAUAAGGAAAGAGAAAGUCCUAGUUACAGUAAAGGCCAUUGGUGCUUCGUGAUAUAUACCUUCUGGCCAGACUGAGAAGGGCAAAUUCAGUUUUGAUGAAAGACACACUUUAUAACCUGGUUGCUUGUUUAGGAAUGCUCAAAGUCAAAGCAGGUGCAUAAAACAAGUGGAAGUAUGACUCUUUAAGAUUUCAGAUUGACAGUAUCCUCAACUUACUCAGCAUUUUAGAAUACAGUUCUAAAUUGACCUUGGCAAAACUACAGGGAUUGGAUUUUUACAUAGUCUAUCUGUUUGUAAACAUUCUCAUUUGCACACUAAACCCAAAUGGGGUUUACUUUAUUUUAAAGAAGCAUUUUUAAACAACAUGGAUUUUUUUUAAAACAACAGGAGAAUAUUUGUCUUCCGGUGAACAGAAACUCUCAUGCAAGAGAAAGCAACAAAAGCAAGGAAGGACAUCUCAAGUUGGAAUACAAAAUAAGCAACAUUAGUGCUAGCAAUAUGAUUUGUGAAGAGUUACAGGAUUGUGGGCUCAAUACAUGAUGGAGGAGUGUGGUUCAAGUUUGUGCUGUACCUUAUGAUUCUGUAUUAGGACUGUUACUUUUUCUUAAAAUGAGAAAUUCAAAUGCAAAGGACUACAAUUCAAAAUACACAUAUGGCUCCAGAUGGAAAUUAUUAGCACUUUUCUUAAUUACGACAAUGAAGACCAUAAGUGGAGAAUCAAGAGAAGAAAACAAGUUGAGUUACUUAUCCCUGCAAGCGAGGAUGAAGCAAUUGAGCACCUGUAUCCCAAAGUUCAACAUUGUCUCCUUUAGUGGCUCCCAACAUGUGAGCAGCAGACCACUGAUGGUACUUCGGGUGGUCUGUGAAGGACUCCUUAGUGGAAGUGAAAUGUAUGAACCAAUCACAGGAAGAGAGAAGGGUGAAGAUCACACUAAUGGAGCCUCUCAUCAUUUCAUCAUUUGCCAUCAUUUCUGUUUUUUACACUGUGUAAUAAAUAUGAAAUAUUUAUAUAUAGGCUUCUAAUACUGGGAAAAGGCAGGCUUUAAAUGGAUAAAAUAAAUACAAAUACAUAAGUAA